CCUUCCCUCUUUCUUCGUGCCUAACACAUGCAAGUCGAACGAACGCACAAGAGGGCUUCCCCUCUGACUUUAGCGUCGGACGGGUGAGAGACACGCGGAUAACCCUGCUAUUAUGCGGGGGAUAACUCGGGAAACCGGGGCUAAUACCGGCUAACAUAUUGAGGCUCAUAGUUCAGUAGUUAAAGACGUUUUUCCGGUCACUUAGAGAUGGAUCCGCGCCGCAUUAGCUAGUUGGUAAGGUAACGGCUUACCAAGGCAACGAUGCGUAGCCGAGCUGAGAGGGUGAUCAGCCACACUGGAACUGAGACACGGUCCAGACUCCUACGGGAGGCAGCAGUAGGGAAUCUUCGGCAAUGGGCGCAAGCCUGACGGAGCCAUGCCGCGUGAGUGAAGAAGGUCUUCGGGUCGUAAAGCUCUGUUAUUGGGGAAGAAAAACUGCCUAAUAAAAUCCGGUCGUCUUGACGGUACCCAAUGAGAAAGCCACGGCUAACUUCGUG
rnacentral:rRNA from 1 species